AAUGACAAUGAACACCUGCCCUUUUGGGUCAUCCCAGGAGGGCUCUUCUGGUUGUGGGACAGGACGCUUAGCAUUCCAUACCGUGUCCCGAUCUCACCGGAUGCCGCUCCUUGCUCCCUGCCUGUGCAAAACAACCUUGUUUGAUGCUGAUGUUGGCUUCUCCUGCAUCACACAGUGCAGGGAUCUCUGCUCUGCGCAGCUAAAGCUGGGCCACAGAGAGCUCUUGUGCACAAACAUGCUUAUUCUGCAUGGCUGCAGCAAAAGUGGAGAAAAGAAAUAAACUGGUGAGAUCAAUAGAUGACAGUUUACAUCUAAAGCACAAAGCACUUCUUUGGCCAUGAACCUGCUCCUUUGUGGUUCCCCAUCUCAUUCCCAUGAUCUCUUGCAGGUGGUGGUGAGAAGGACCCUGCCG